rnacentral:tRNA from 1 species
GAUGGAUUGGCCUAGUGGUUGGGCGACGGACUGUUAAUCCGUGAACGAGAGUUCUAGCAAGGUUCAAAUCCUUGAUCCAUCGCCA